rnacentral:rRNA from 1 species
CCCUUAGAUGUUCUGGGCCGCACGCGCGCUACACUGAUGCAUUCAACGAGUCUAAAACCUGGUCUGAUAGGGCUGGGUAAUCUUUUGAAUGUGCAUCGUGAUUGGGAUAGAUGAUUGCAAUUCUUCAUCUUCAACGAGGAAUGCCUAGUAAACGCAAGUCAUCAGCUUGCAUUGAUUACGUCCCUGCCCUUUGUACACACCGCCCGUCGCUCCUACCGAUUGAAUGCUCAGGUGAGCCAUUCGGACUUUCAUCAUGCUGGUUUCCAGUUUUGAUGAAGGAAAGUCUUGCGAACCUUAUCAUUUAGAGGAAGGAGAAGUCGUAACA